AGAAAGCUCGUCCACGUCACAAAGCUGUUGUCCCCUCUCCCCCAUCACAGCACCCGAGGUCCGGACCAACUUGGCCUCACUCCAGGGAUUUUGCUAGACCGUAUACCGCUUCAUGCUAUCCAUCCAAGGGCUCCCAGAAUGGUGGCACGGGGCCUGGGGCACCAAUGAGCCAUCCUUCCUUGGAGAGAUCUGGUUUGGGAUCCCAGCUACUCUCGCCCUCCAGCCCGCCUCGCUUGAAACUUCCGGCAAUAGAGACUCCUUUGACGUUUAAAGAAAACAAGGACAAAACACUGGCAGCACAACGUUUCCACUGUGGAACAGCUAAGCUGCUGGGAUGGCGUCUGGGCAAGGCGGGUUUUUCAAUGGAGCCUGCCUCUCUUUGGAGUAGGUGGCUUAGGCUGUGCUGAUGCCAUCUUUGCCUGGUUGUCAAAAAGAGAUCCAGAAAUAUAGGCUUGUGGAAUGUUGGAGCUGGAAGUCUUGUCCAACUGAACUUAUUUAACAACCCUGGAAGGCCAGAAGCUGAGCCCAGAGUGGCCAGGAAACUCUAGUUUGGCCCAUUUUGGUUUGUUGGAAUCAAUAUUUGCAUUUCCUGGACAUUUCUCCUGAGCAGUAUCCAAAUGCCUGGUAUAUCCAGGGGACGCGAGUCAGCUCACUUACAGAGUCUCUAUCUCUGUCCAUCUCUGUCCCUCUCUGUGUCUUGCUCUCUUGAUGUCUCUCUCUGUAUGAGCCAAGCUCACUUAACAGACUCUGUCUCCCCCUGCUUCCCCCCUGCACAGGGGUUGGGGGAGUGGGUACUAGCACUACCACAGCUGUCUUAGGAAAAUUUUCUCCCAAAUACCCUUUUAAAAGCUUCUCGCUAAUCCCUCUUUUCUGGGAGAGGUCUAGAGAUCUGGGUGAUUUCCCUGGGGGAGAGACAUCAGUCACACAUUCCACAUGAAAGAAAUUUCCCCCUUUCUGCAGCUUGCCUGUACCUCCUCUUAUAAUUCAUCACAGCUCAUCACAGUGCCCUGGCCAGUGAGGCUGAUAAGGGUCCUUGAAAUCUUAAGUGACCGUCUCUGAACUCUAGGGAGAAGAGAAUGGGGAGGAACUGCUGAGUGGGCACAAGGUUUUCCUUUAGGGCGAUGACAAUUUUUUGGAACUAGAUAAAAGUGAUGAUUGCACAUGUUGCACUGCAUUGUUCACUUUAAAAUGGUUAAUUUUAUGAUAUGUGAAUUUCACUUUAAUAAAAAAAUUUCUUUGAAAAAAAAAACAAUAAUGGGGCACCUGGGUGGCUCAUUAGGUUAAGCAACCAACUCUUGAUUUUAGCUCAGGUCAUGAUCUCAAUGAUUUGUGAGUUCAAGCCCCACAUCAGGUUAUGUUCUGACAGUGCGGAGCCUGCUUGAGAUUCUAACUCCCUCUCUCUCUCUGCCCCUUCCCCACUCUCUCUUUCUCUCUCUCUCUCUCAAAAUAAACUUUAGUAAAAAAAACAAAAAAAUAAUAUCACUGACAUCUAAUCACUUUUUUAAAAAUUACAGAGUUCGUGUGUGAUCAAAUUACUUCUAACUGCAUUGUAUGUGGCACACACACAUGUAAAAUACAUUCCCAACCCCGGAGGAAUUUAAGACCUAGCUGGAGAACAGAGAUGACUAAUACAUCAAACAACUUCCAUAAGAGCAAUGCCCUUCCUCUGUGUGCAAUUGAGAGUUCGAAGACGCACCUCUGCUAAUGCAGAAAAGGAAAAAGUUCUUGGAGAUGACAUUGGAAAUGAGCUUUAAGAGUUGAAUGAAAUUUUUACUGUUAGAGUUGGAGGUGGAGAAAUAUAAUUAACAGGAAGAAUGUCUGAUCCCUACAAGGGGGUCACAUGAUACAUUUAAGGACAUUACCUAGUCCAAUCUGGCUGUCAUAAAAGCUACAUCAUUCCAGCAUGAGUAUUAAAGACCAGAUGUCAAAAGACCAUGACUCUGCCCCUUUGUCUCCAAUGCCUGAUGCCCUGUUUUCCACAUACUUGAUGAUGCAUGAAUGUCAAAGAUAAAAUAAAAAUGUGCAUUAAAGAAACUCUAAGAAGCACAUGUACCAGGAAAACUAUAAAACAGUUGUCUUAGCUAGAAGCAUGUACUACUACUGAAAUAGGCUAAGACAAGUAUGCAACAAGUUUUGAGGUACAAGGCAGAACAUGGUGUAACU